rnacentral:rRNA from 1 species
AUUGAACGCUGGCGGCAGGCCUAACACAUGCAAGUCGAGCGGAUGAAGGGAGCUUGCUCCUGGAUUCAGCGGCGGACGGGUGAGUAAUGCCUAGGAAUCUGCCUGGUAGUGGGGGAUAACGUCCGGAAACGGGCGCUAAUACCGCAUACGUCCUGAGGGAGAAAGUGGGGGAUCUUCGGACCUCACGCUAUCAGAUGAGCCUAGGUCGGAUUAGCUAGUUGGUGGGGUAAAGGCCUACCAAGGCGACGAUCCGUAACUGGUCUGAGAGGAUGAUCAGUCACACUGGAACUGGGACACGGUCCAGACUCCUACGGGAGGCAGCAGUGGGGAAUAUUGGACGAUAGGCGAAAGCCUGAUCCAGCAAUGCCGCGUGUGUGAAGAAGGUCUUCGGAUUGUAAAGCACUUUAAGUUGGGAGGAAGGGCAGUAAGUUAAUACCUUGCUGUUUUGACGUUACCAACAGAAUAAGCACCGGCUAACUUCGUG